AGCAGAAUGCGGCUCCAGUCCAAAGCAACACUCUGCAGAAGAGGAGCAGAAAGCACAGAUCUCCGCAGAUGUUUUGGAGAAGGACGUCAGUGCAGCAGACGACAGCAGGACAUUGAUGCCACCGCCAACAGCUCCAAUCAGAAAGAGACCGAGAGAAGAGA